UAAGGUAGAAUAGGGCGGGACUUUCCUUUGCCAUCCUAGGAAACACAAAUUCGCCCAUCGUUCACCGGCUUAAUACUUAAUACAUUUUUGUACAUCGUUCUCUUCUCUUAAAUCCAUGCCGUACACCCCGACAAUUUACUUUUUUUUUUACCUCCUGAUGUGUUGCUGAAAAGUUAACCUCCCCUCCGGUGAUUUGUAAUUAUAAUGUAUCAACAUUUAUGAACAUAACAACGUGAAAUGGCGUGCACGUCCAGAGAGUCUACGGUGAGGUCGUAGGGGUCCAUGUUAAGCUUGUUGAAGACUUCCUUGAGUGUGAGCUGUUGGCUGCCCUUCUCCAAGACGACGCGAUCUGCCUCUGUCUGGUUUCUACUGAGCAAUACGGUGAUAUAAUUUACUGAAAAUUGAUUUAGAAAACAACCACAUGACUCCUGUGGAUCAUUGGCUACUGCUGGCCCCCUGCACCACCACUAUGACUUCUCUCAGCUGACCUGGUACUGCUCCAGCGCCCCCUGCCUCUCUUGCUCCAGCUGCUCCAGUUGUUUCAUCGCAGCCUGCAGGGCGCUCUCCUUGGUCAGACGAGCUUUCUCCAGCUCCUUUUUCUCAGCCUCCGUCUCCGAGAUGGCGCGCUGCUGCCGCAGGUGGAACUCCUCCAGCUCUAUCCUCUUUGUGGCCUCUUCCUCCAGUAACCUGCUCAGCAAAGACAUUAAACAUGGCCUCCGGACGGCCUCCUCGUCCUGUCUGGCGCGCCUCUCGUCCUCCAGAGCGUCCUCCAGUUGAUGGUACAUGUCCUCCAGCUCCUGAACCCGCUGCAGGUACUGCUCCAGCUCAGUGGACUUCUGGGCCACCUGCUCCUCCAUUUGCUGCCGUACCUGUUGAACCAGGAAAAAUACAGAGAAAUUCUUUAUCUGGAGGUCAAUAUCAACACACCUG